ACUGAGCGGCGGACGGGUGAGUAACGCGUGGGCAACCUGCCUUACACAGGGGGAUAACAGUUAGAAAUGACUGCUAAUACCGCAUAAGACCGCAGUACCGCAUGGUACAGCGGUAAAAACUCCGGUGGUGUAAGAUGGGCCCGCGUCUGAUUAGGUAGUUGGCGGGGUAACGGCCCACCAAGCCGACGAUCAGUAGCCGACCUGAGAGGGUGACCGGCCACAUUGGGACUGAGACACGGCCCAGACUCCUACGGGAGGCAGCAG
rnacentral:rRNA from 1 species